AAUGAACAGCGGCGCAGUAUCCUAGUCAGAUCCGACGUCUUGUAAGGAGGGCCUAAAAAUCCUUCAAAGGGCAUAACUGUGAAGUCUCUGGUGCCUGCUUCUUACGCCCAGUUUGGGGUGGGUGCUGGAGGGAGGUGCGGAAUGACCCCGCGCCUGCGGAUUCAGGGCGCCCUCCAAUGGCAUGGAGGACCCGACCCUGCUUUCGUGGAGACCUGUUGUUGUGCGCAGGCGGACUCCCGUUGUGGUAUCGACCUGCGUACGAGACAGAUUGUGAACCUGCAAUGCGGUGCUACCCGGCUUUACCGCCGUAACGCUGUGUGCAGAGUAGCCUGCCUUGCGUGGAUUGGGUGGAUAGGGGAGCUCAUGCAUCCGCUUCUCAGGCCAGAGAAACGGGUGUUAUUCCCUUGAAACCCUGUCUGCAAAAGAGGCUAAGAGACGCUCGGACUGCUGUGGAAAUCACCUAGGCUGUCCCGCUUCGCGGGGACGCCGGAGGGGCUGCAGUGCGGACUAAGUGGCAGUCGGGUACCGUGACACGGCAACAUCACGGCACAGCGCUGAAAGGGAAACCGCCUGAUCGGCGACGAGAGGUGCGCUGUGGGGAAAUCCAACCCGUACCUAAGCCGUAAGAUUUACUUCCGGCGCCGCCCUGUUC
rnacentral:sRNA from 1 species